CAAGAAUCGCUUUUGCAGUUCACGCACUGGUUGGCAUUGCGACCAUCCAAUCUCGCACUGUGGGUCGAAAGUCCCCGGAGCCUCCCCCAUCUCGUCUUUACUCCUAUCCUCUCCGCUAUUCUUUCUGCUUCCCCCCAGACGCACGAUAUUCUCAGCUUGUCUUUAUGCCUUCCUAUCAACCCCUUUACCAUCACCCCCUUGUUUUGGUUCGAUACUUCUGCCGGGAAAGCGCUGUACCUAAGACUACAGAGUGGCGGUUGUAAUCGGAUUGAGGGUGCGUGAUGGAGAGGUAAGUGAACGGUCUGGUUUGGAUAGUUGAGUUGUAUUGUGUAGGGUGUGGCAAGUGGUUGUUUGGCUGGCCUUGGCGUCCCGCUGGUUUUUUUUCUUUCUGUGUAGCAAUCCGGUUCAUCCAGUGCCUCAUGGAGGGUGCCAGUGCUGGGGUCUGGAUUGGGGUUUCCUUUUUUUUGCGGUCUGCUGGCUUCAGGCGAAGAUAUGAGCCUUGGUCGGUUGUCAUGGCUGCAUGAAGGAUGGCGGGUUGACAAUGGGGGAUGAAACGAAUGCGCUCAUAGCUAUAGUCAUGCGAUUGCCUGUUUUACCCACCCACUCCGUGGUGUGGUGGGGUAGGUAACUCGAUGGGGCUUACUCUGUGUUUUUGGGCUGCUUCCAUUUCACCCUUUUUUCUUUUAUUUUAUUUCAUUUUUAUUCUUUUAUUCUUUACGGUCUUACCGCCCACACAUCUGGUAAUGACUGUAGCUGCAUCUGGUCACGCGAACCGUCGGCCUGAGCAGUUUUUGAUGACCCAGUGAUGUUGUUGAAUUUCUUCAUCGCUAGCUCGAGAAGUCUGACCGCCUGACAUCGGUUAUACAAGGACUUCUCGAAGCACGGAGCGACAAUUUAUUCUUCUGAGGGUCUUUCCAUAAUAUAAUGUUUCACAAAUCUCGCCGCAUGCAUACAAUCACUUUUUUAUC
rnacentral:sRNA from 1 species